rnacentral:rRNA from 2 species
UACAGAGGGUGCAAGCGUUAAUCGGAAUUACUGGGCGUAAAGCGAGCGUAGGUGGCUUAAUAAGUCAGAUGUGAAAUCCCCGGGCUUAACCUGGGAACUGCAUCUGAUACUGUUGGGCUAGAGUAGGUGAGAGGGAGGUAGAAUUUCAGGUGUAGCGGUGAAAUGCGUAGAGAUCUGAAGGAAUACCGAUGGCGAAGGCAGCCUCCUGGCAUCAUACUGACACUGAGGUUCGAAAGCGUGGGUAGCAAAC